GAUGAACGCUAGCGGCAGGCCUAAUACAUGCAAGUCGAACGGUGUAGCAAUACACAGUGGCGCACGGGUGCGUAACACGUAUGCAACCUACCUUACAUUGGGGGAUAGCCUUUCGAAAGGGAGAUUAAUACCGCAUAAGACAGUAACUAGGCAUCUAGUAGCUGUUAAAGAUUUAUCGAUGUAAGCUGGGCAUGCGUCCAAUUAGUUAGUUGGCGAGGUAAUGGCUCACCAAGACGAUGAUUGGGAGGGGAACUGAGAGGUCAAUCCCCCACAAUGGCACUGAGAUACGGGCCAGACUCCUACGGGGGGGAGCAGUAGGGAAUAUUGGCCAAUGGGCGCAAGCCUGAACCAGCCAUGCAGCGUGCAGGAAGAAGGCGUUAUGCGUUGUAAACUGCUUUUAUACAGGAAGAAACGACCCUUGCGAGGGGCAUUGUCGGUACUGUAUGAAUAAGCACCGGCUAACUCCGUGCCAGCAGCCGCAGUAACAC
rnacentral:rRNA from 1 species